UGUUUUCAGGGUAUGGCAAAAAGAAGGGCACAAUUUUCUUAAGAAGAAUAAAAGCUUAGAAAGACUAUCAGGGUUGCUGGAUCUAACCUGAAUUGGGUUUGCAUUACAUUGAAAAGGCGCUAAGUCGAGAAAAGACCAUGGUGAUAAGUUUUUCUUGCGCUAUCCCACCAGCUGCUAAUUUAUAAAAUAUUCUUUGAUCAGCAUAUAGGAUAGCCAGUUGUCAUGGAACUGCAAGGAGUACCACAGCCAUAAAAUGUAUAAGGGCAGAGCGGUAUAUGUGGCCCAAGUGGAUGAUGUUUUAUAUUGUUCAAUAAACAUUAGUUGAAGUGUC